UACUUAUGAUGUGUACUCUUAUGUUAAUUCCUUAUCGUAAAAUGACGAGUGAAACUCGUGACGCAGAAUUUAGUGGAUUCACACAUUCGUGCUCAGACCAUUGAUAUAGAUUCGGUGAUAGUACGGAUUACGUUAUGAUCCAGAGCAUAAAUUCAAGUCGGACUUAAUAAUACCUGUUUACAUAUAGAAACCAUGUAAAACAAUGGAAUAUGCUUAUAAAAAGUUUUCUAGCUCCAUUCAUAUAUUGACAUCAGUCGUACGAAAGUUAGUAUUUAAGUAACUAAUAUUGGUGUAGUUUCAUGCGUUCAAAUGGCGAUAUAAAUUGAAAAUCCCGCCGAUAACGAAAUACGGUCUAUCGUCUUUACGCUUUCUAAAUACUGAAAAUGUUCGACCAAGAGGAAUUCACGGUUACUUACAUCCUAUUUUUAAUCUACGAAAAAUUUUCUAAUAUUGUUCGUGAUUUCGUAUUUUUUUUUUUUUUUUUAUUUAUAUAGUGAAAUUUAUUUGAAAAUCCUUUGCAUAACGUUUAGAAUAAAAAAUAGUAAUACUAGAGAUAAUAUGUACUCAAAUAGUGAAACUAUCGAUACUAUCGAUAGUGUUACCUUUGACAAUAGGCAAAACAAUUCUUACAGAUCGCUAGAGGAAUUAAGAUGUAUCUAUAUGUUUUAAUAUAUUAAAAAUUUAUGUUAAACAUAUAUUAAAACAAUAUAUUAAUAAAAAAGAAAUCACAUUUAAUGUAUGAAAGGUUUUUAUUUCAAUACCGUUGAUUUCUGCACGCUCGAUGAAGGGAGAUCGAGCUUAAAGCUUGAAGUUUAUUUAUACCAAACAACGGCUUUGUCCCUCAUUAUGACGCAGUUUAAAUGAAAUCGUACGGCAAAGGGUUAAUUAGUGAUUCAAAAGAUAAAAAUUACGCAGUUACAAAGAUUUCUGAAAUAUUGGAAAGAAAUCGGUGUCAAAUCGGAAUCCCUCCUCCUGAAGUAUUGCAAAUCGUUGCACAGUGCGGAAUUUGAAUGAGGAUUCGCAACAAAAAUCAAAAUUCGCUGGUCACGUUCGCACGUUCGGUCGUGUCGGGUAAGUGGCUAUAUUUUUCUGCUUCAUCGCAGAUAUGAGGAGACGCUUUUAAUGGAUGUACUGCGCACCACCUCAGACGAGUCCCACAUAUCCCACCGAUAAAAUAAUCACCAGGUUGUGUUUGUAUAUACCAAAGAAAUAUCUAUAGAUUUUUACAUUCCCUUUCAUUUCGAACAAGAAUCGUCGUUUAGUUACCGGCAUAUUUUCUAAACAAAAUCAAUGAUGAAAUUUCUAUGAUUCAUCGAUAGAUGUGAAACGUUUCCUUCCAUCUUAAAGAAAUUAAACUAAAGGCGAAGGGAAGAUAUCAUCAAUAUUUGAAAUAUUGCAAAAACUUCGAAAAUAGAAGAGUACGUAGGACUUAAGCGAAAAUUUUGUAAUUGAUCCAAUGGAAAAAGAAGUAAAAAGGAUGACUGCAAUAUUGUUAUGAAAUCUCCACCUAAAGAGUAAUACUAUCUUAUCUCACCUUUGACCUGCAAAUAUAUCAGACAUGAUGACAAGGGAG